UAUAAUUAAUAAUUAACAGCUUUAUAUAUAUUUUUUAUAUUUAUUUAAAAGUUGCGCAGCAUAUAUGCAACGGAAAUAAUAAUAAAAAGACAAAAGUUUGCAAACCAGCUGGAAAAAAAAAACAACCCAAAAAAAACGCGAUUUCCAAAAUCCAUAAUGGAGUCGGGAUUUCUCCAAAUGAACCACAAUCCAGGCCCAAAUGCAAUAUUUGGUAGGUUUGCGAAAAUACAAAAGGCGCAACUGUGGCGGCCGCUAAUUCGAAUACCACUUUUUAACGUUUAAAUAAAUAAUAUUUAUACGGUAAUUUUAUUAAGCAAAUCGCGGAAAUAUAUCGGGAUUCGGCGAAUAAACCAAAUAUUUAUCCCGGUUUUGUACCUUUGGAAUCCAUAUUUAACGAUACGCAAAAAAUAGCCCUGGCAAAUUAUUUAGGUGUUUUAGCAAAUAUUAUACCGGGAUUUUAUUUAAUGGGAAAUUUCGAAACCGAUAUAGGCGAGGAGGUAUUAUAAUUACGCCCGGCUAUUUUUAUUUCCUUUAUAAAUGGAUUAGGCGGCGUUUUUUCACUAUUUGUGCAAUAGGACACUUUUUCGCAAUCCUUUUACGGACAUCCACCCGUUCCUGCCUGGUUUCCACCGAUGGCGACCAUAACCGGCGAAUCGAAUUUUACCAUAUUACCCUACAAUAAUACCCCCAUUGGGUUCGACCGUUUAACACUUUAAUGCGCUCCAUUCGAAACGGUUGCGGAUUUUAAAAUGCUUGUCCCUUAAUAUUAUAAUUAAUGGGUGUUAAUAUUAGGCUGCGAAAGUAUAAUUAGGAAAAAAGCCCAAAAACUUGGUUUUAAAAAGGUCCUCCUAUCGUCCGAUUUAUUUAAAAAAUCCCCAAAUAUUAGCCUUUUACCUGAAAUAACAGCCAAUAUAUACGAUAUUAAUGGCCUACCAAAACCCCACGACCAGCAAUUGGAGCCUGUUACCGCGGUUUUAAUCUUCGGCACUCUUUAUAAUUGGGGCCGGGAUUUGCAGGUUAUUUUGGAUUAUCUUUUUGCAGAUAAUUUCGCCGCCCCAGGUCCGGCAAACGGUAAUUUAAAAAUCGAAAACGGCACCUGCGGUCAUUCGUCGAAAUUAUAUUUUAAAAGCCUUUCUUCUGGAAAAGCAAAAUUUAAAUUUCUAUCGCCUUUUAAUAUUGAGGAUUUUAUAUACGCGUUACAAACCAUUUUGCUAAAAAGAACUUGGCAAGUUUAAUUUGAAAAAACGGAAAAAUAAUUAUAGGUUACUGGUUUUUCAAAUUCGAUACGCAUUUCUAUAUAUUAUAACGGAAGAUAAGGUUUUCGGCCUAUAUUAGUAUUAAACGAUAAUACCGCAGUUUUUAUAAUUUUAUUCCAUUACCUUUCUUUAAUUUAAUUUCUGUUCGCCUAUUUCCAUAUUAUUCGAAAUUUUUUUUGGUAUUAACCCAACUUUGGAUUUUACUAUUUGAUAUUUAAAUAUAAAAUACUGUAAAGCUUUUUUUUUUCUUUUUUUUUAAAUUACGACGACCGACGACCAUAUAUAUAGCCGGAUAGCCUUUAAAAAUAAAGGAAAUACCAACCGUAAUAUCCGCCCAAUAUAUACGUUAGGCCCGCUAUAAUAAAUUUGUAAUUGACCGCAAUAGCAAAUCGGCCGAAAUUCUAUCUCCUACCGCCGCUCCAAAGUCAGUUUACCCACCAAACGCUUUUUGCGUAAUUUAAUCAGGUAUUUAUAAAACUGGCGGUAAAACGGGCAUUUCGACUCGCUUAAAAACCACCUUUCGGUAUACGCGGAACAUAUUAUAUGUUUUUUUUACUGUUAGCCGGGGUUAAAUACGAAAAAGUAAUUUAACACGUACCGCAUUUUGUUAUUAGCAUUUGGGUUUUUUGCUCCAGACAAAUUCCGCAAUCGGUAUUGCGAAAAAUUCUAAUAUUUGUUAUAUUAUCCGUUUCCGGGUGGUUUUUACAUUUUAACAGGUAUAUUACCGUAGGGAUUUCGCUCCGAUAACGUAAGCGGCAUUUGGGACAAAUAGGUUAUAAAGCGAAUUAUUAGCGGGUUUUAUAUAAUAUUUCGCGGGUGGUUUAACCUACCCCAAAAUAUAUAAAUUUAUAUAUCCGCAUAUAAUAACGAAAUAGUCGGCAUCCCGAAAAAAAGUUGAACAAAUAAAACAUUUAAAAUCGGUAUUAUCCGUAAUUAAAUUAAUAACAGGCCGCAGGUUUAAAUCCUGCAGGACGCGUUCGAAUUAAAUGCAAAUUUCCGCCUUUUGUUUUGCAACAGACAAUUACCGAUUUGCUUCUGCGAAUUUAAUUUUUAGGUCCCGGUAUAGCUAAAAUAUAAAAAUGGUAAAUUAUUAAUUAUUGCGUCGGCUAUAUUUUAAAUGGUGGAAAAGAAUGUUAUUUAUUAUCUAAUUGUUUUUGGAACUGUUGUCGCAUUCGCUCGACUUGCCCAAUGUUUUUUUCGGCCCGUAAUUGACGAGCCUGUUCGCCAUUUUCCCUUGCGCAAAACGCGUAAAAUGGGGGAAGGCGAAUUAUUAUAUAUUUUAUAGGUUUUUUUCAAAUAUUUAUAUUAACCGUUGGGAACGAAAUUGUAAAAGGUAAAAUAAAUAAAAAAUUGGAAUAGGGGCGGGAGAAAAAGGCUGGUAUUUAUAUUACUAA
rnacentral:sRNA from 1 species